AGACGUAGGGGGCGAGCGUUGUCCGGAAUUACUGGGCGUAAAGGGCGUGUAGGCGGCCUUUCAAGUCGGCUGUGAAAUACCCCGGCUCAACCGGGGGGGUGCAGUCGAAACUGGGGGGCUUGAGUGCAGGAGAGGGGGGUGGAAUUCCCGGUGGAGCGGUGAUAUGCGUAGAUAUCGGGAGGAACACCGGUGGCGAAGGCGACCUUCUGGCCUGUUACUGACGCUGAGGCGCGAAAGCCGGGGGAGCAAACAGGAUUAGAUACCCUGGUAGUCCCGGCCGUAAACGCUGGGUACUAGGUGUAGGGGGCUUUGAUGCCUUCUGUGCCGUAGUUAACGCAUUAAGUACCCCGCCUGGGGAGUACGGCCGCAAGGCUGAA
rnacentral:rRNA from 1 species